rnacentral:rRNA from 1 species
CAGCAUAUCAAUAAGCGGAGGAAAAGAAACCAACAGGGAUUGCCCUAGUAACGGCGAGUGAAGCGGCAACAGCUCAAAUUUGAAAUCUGGCUCUCGGGCCCGAGUUGUAAUUUGUAGAGGAUGCUUUUGGUGAGGUGCCUUCCGAGUUCCCUGGAACGGGACGCCAUAGAGGGUGAGAGCCCCGUCUGGUUGGACACCGAUCCUCUGUAAAGCUCCUUCGACGAGUCGAGUAGUUUGGGAAUGCUGCUCUAAAUGGGAGGUAUAUGUCUUCUAAAGCUAAAUAUUGGCCAGAGACCGAUAGCGCACAAGUAGAGUGAUCGAAAGAUGAAAAGCACUUUGAAAAGAGAGUUAAAAAGUACGUGAAAUUGUUGAAAGGGAAGCGCUUGUGACCAGACUUGGGCUUGGUUGAUCAUCCAGGGUUCUCCCUGGUGCACUCUUCCAGCCCAGGCCAGCAUCAGUUUGCUUCGGGGGAUAAAGGCGUCGGGAAUGUGGCACCCUCCGGGGUGUGUUAUAGCCCGUCGUGUAAUACCCUGGGGCAGACUGAGGUUCGCGCAUCUGCAAGGAUGCUGGCGUAAUGGUCAUCAGCGACCCGUCUUGAAACACGGACCAAGGAGUCGUCUUCGUAUGCGAGUGUUCGGGUGUCAAACCCCUACGCGUAAUGAAAGUGAACGCAGGUGAGAGCUUCGGCGCAUCAUCGACCGAUCCUGAUGUUCUCGGAUGGAUUUGAGUAAGAGCAUACGGGGCCGGACCCGAAAGAAGGUGAACUAUGCCUGUAUAGGGUGAAGCCAGAGGAAACUCUGGUGGAGGCUCGCAGCGGUUCUGACGUGCAAAUCGAUCGUCAAAUAUGRGGCAUGGGGGCGAAAGACUAAUCGAACCUUCUAGUAGCUGGUUUCCGCCGAGU